UACGUAGGGUGCGAGCGUUGUCCGGAUUUAUUGGGCGUAAAGAGCUCGUAGGCGGCCUGUUGCGUCCGCUGUGAAAGCCCGGGGCUUAACCCCGGGUCGGCAGUGGAUACGGGCAGGCUAGAGGUAGGUAGGGGAGAAUGGAAUUCCCGGUGUAGCGGUGAAAUGCGCAGAUAUCGGGAGGAACACCGGUGGCGAAGGCGGUUCUCUGGGCCUUACCUGACGCUGAGGAGCGAAAGUGUGGGGAGCGAACAGG
rnacentral:rRNA from 1 species